rnacentral:lncRNA from 1 species
AAUAAAUUAAUUUGGUUUUAAUUACUGCUUGAAUGGCACGUUCAAUCUCCACAUCAAUCACACACAGAUUUGCAUGAAAAGCGCAAUCAUAAGAUAUAUAACAUUCAGACUGAAUGUUCUGUAUACACAUGUCUUAACAUCGGGUAUGACAUCUCAGCUAAAUCCUGCACAACCAUAUUUAAACACCCUGCAGGAUGCUGAUAUCACAUGUCAAGACAACACUCGUGACAACUUGUGAUAACUCUAGGUUUUACCAAAAUUGAUGCCAACACAU